rnacentral:rRNA from 2 species
AAGCUCGUAGUUGAAUUUCGGGAUUGACACAUCGGUCGUGCCUUAAGGGGUAUGAACUGGUGUAGUCAAUUUCUCACCUUCUGGAGAACCGCGAUGCCCUUAAUUGGGUGUCGCGGGGAACCAGGACCUUUACUUUGAAAAAAUUAGAGUGUUUAAAGCAGGCAUUUUGCUUGAAUACAUUAGCAUGGAAUAAUAAAAUAGGACGGCAUGAUUCUAUUUUGUUGGUUUCUAGGAUCACCGUAAUGAUUAAUAGGGAUAGUUGGG